AACGAACGCUGGCGGCAUGCCUAACACAUGCAAGUCGAACGCCCUCGCAACAUGGAGUGGCAGACGGGGGAGAAACGCGGGGGAACGUACCCGUCGGUUCGGAAUAACUCAGGGAAACUUGAGCAAAUACUGGCUACGUGCGCGAGCAGAAAGAUUUAUCGAGGAAGGAGUGGCCCGAGUCCGAUUAGCUAGUUGGUGAGGUAAUGGCUCACGAAGGCGACGAUCGGAAGCUGGUCUGAGAGGAUGACCAGCGACACUGGGAGGGGGAAACGGUGCAGAAUCCUACGGGAGGGAGCAAUGGGGGAUAUUGGAAAACGGGCGCAAGCAUGAACCAGCCAUGCCGCGUGAGUGAUGAAGGCCGUAGGGUUGUAAAGCGGUUUCGCCAGGGAGGAUAAUGACGGUACCGGAAUAAGAAGCACCGGCUAACUUCGUGCCAGCCGCCGCGGUAA
rnacentral:rRNA from 1 species